rnacentral:lncRNA from 1 species
UUUCCAGGUGCUGGAGAGCAGUGUGUAAAACAAGAGCUACUGCAUCGUCCACAGUCCUAUUUGGAAACAUGGUUUAUACGGCCACAUAAUAUCCUGAAUACAGAUCUCAAUCAGGAAAUAACUGUUUUUCCCAAACAUGUCAGUCAAAACACCUCACAGCCAGUCAUCUUCUCCCUCAUCUACCCCACUGCAGACGAUACAGGACUUUAACAUUAAAG